rnacentral:rRNA from 1 species
AGUCACUGACAUUAGAUACCCCUGUAGUCCAGGGUGUAAACGCUGCAGACUUGGUGUUGGAAAUCCUUCGAGGGUAUUCAGUGCCGGAGAGAAGUUGUUAAGUCUGCUACUUGGGAGUACGUCCGCAAGGAUGAAACUUAAAGGAAUUGGCGGGGGAGCACCGCAACGGGAGGAGCGUGCGGUUUAAUUGGAUUCAACGACCGAAAACUCACCAGCAGCGACUGUUACAUGAAAGUCAGGUUGAUGACCUUACUAGAUUUUCAG